CGGAACUCAGCCCGGGGGCCUCUGAGCUGUCCCACCGCAAGGACAAGGAAGCUGGGAGAUUUAUUCACCAACUGCCACUCAGAGGACCAGCGGCUCCAGGAACAGUGGUUUUCCUGCGUGUCUGGGCCACGGGCGCCCUCAGGUGGGGGGCGCAGGUAUUCGCAGAAUAUUCUAGAUGAGACCCCCACCACUCUGAAUGCACCCUCUCAAGUCCUGGAAGAGCAUCCCUUCUUGAGCAUCACCUCCUUAGGAGUCUUCCCUGAACGCCAGUCCACGAACCCACUCCAGCAUCCUCCACCGUGUUUAGUGGAAGUUGUCACCACAGAAGAGAGAGACCCACUUGUGUUCAUCUGCUCCCUGUUACUGCGAAAGCCACGAGGGCAGAGGCCUCGUCUGUCUGCAUUGAUCAGGACCCCUGGCGCUGCACAUUUCAGAAACCCAGUUCCAGCUGCCUUGAGCAAGACAGCGAACGCGCUGUUUUCGUAGCUGGGGCAUCUCCAGAGAUGUCGCCAGGCCUCUGGGGCUCUGUCCAUCCAUCAGCCUCUCUAUGCAGCCCUUUCACGCUUGCAGCCGGGGUACAGUGGUCACAGAGGCCACGGAACAACCUCCCCAGGCAGGGAGCCCUCUCCCACAUCCACGUGACCGGGCUCAGAGGGGCUUCGGUCUCCUGGUCACUGCUGAGUGAGUCACCACAGCUUGGGGUUGGAGCAUCACGGCUGACCUGCUGUCACGGGACUGGUUCAGUGGAAAGACAUAAGGUCACUGAGGGGCUCCUCCAGCUGAAGGACGGCCGUCGUAUUCUCUACAGUGACCAUGUGACUCUCCAGCGCCCACACCGGCUGCGUAGGUUUGGCCCACAUGUGCACUGGACUGACUGCGUCCUCCUAGACCCAGCGGAAACCCUAACCCUGGGUGUGAUGGUGUCAGGAGGUGGGGCCUCUGCGGCCAUCAGGUCAUGAGGGUGGCGGCCAUCAGGUCACGAGGGUGGCGCCCUUGUGAAUGGGACUUGUUGUUGUUUAAUCGCUCAGUUGGGUCCGACUCUUUGCGACCCCAUGGACUGUAGCCCGCCAGGCUCCUCUGUCCAUGGGAUUUCCUAGGCAAGAAUACUGGAGUAGCUGACUAUUUCCUUCUCCAGGGGAUCUUCCCCACCCAGGGCCUGAACCUGAGCCUCCUGCGUUGGCAGGCAGAUUCUUUAUCACUGAGCCACCUGGGAAGGCCCCAAGAAUGGGAUUAUUGCCCUUAUGAAAGGGACCCCAAAAGAACCCCAGAGGGCCCCCUCACCCCUUUCCGCACGUGAGGACUCAGGGAGAAGCCAUCGUCUCUGAACCAAGAGCAGACACGGGACAAGCCGCCAGCACCCUGACCUUGGACUUCAGCCUCCAG
ensembl:lncRNA